rnacentral:rRNA from 1 species
GAGUUUGAUCCUGGCUCAGGACGAACGCUGGCGGCGUGCUUAACACAUGCAAGUCGAACGGAAAGGCCCUUCGGGGUACUCGAGUGGCGAACGGGUGAGUAACACGUGGGUGAUCUGCCCUGCACUUUGGGAUAAGCCUGGGAAACUGGGUCUAAUACCGAAUAUGACCACGCUCUUCAUGGGGUGUGGUGGAAAGCUUUUGCGGUGUGGGAUGGGCCCGCGGCCUAUCAGCUUGUUGGUGGGGUAAUGGCCUACCAAGGCGACGACGGGUAGCCGGCCUGAGAGGGUGACCGGCCACACUGGGACUGAGAUACGGCCCAGACUCCUACGGGAGGCAGCAGUGGGGAAUAUUGCACAAUGGGCGCAAGCCUGAUGCAGCGACGCCGCGUGAGGGAUGACGGCCUUCGGGUUGUAAACCUCUUUCACCAGGGACGAAGCGCAAGUGACGGUACCUGGAGAAGAAGCACCGGCCAACUACGUGCCAGCAGCCGCGGUAAUACGUAGGGUGCGAGCGUUGUCCGGAAUUACUGGGCGUAAAGAGCUCGUAGGUGGUUUGUCGCGUUGUUCGUGAAAACUCACAGCUUAACUGUGGGCGUGCGGGCGAUACGGGCAGACUAGAGUACUGCAGGGGAGACUGGAAUUCCUGGUGUAGCGGUGGAACGCGCAGAUAUCAGGAGGAACACCGGUGGCGAAGGCGGGUCUCUGGGCAGUAACUGACGCUGAGGAGCGAAAGCGUGGGGAGCGAACAGGAUUAGAUACCCUGGUAGUC